rfam:TPA: Bos taurus chromosome 20, whole genome shotgun sequence.
UCCCUGGUGGUUCAAAUGGUAAAGCAUCUGCCUGCAAGGCGGGAGACCCGGGUUCGAUCCCUGGUUUGGGAA